UGCCCCUACGGGACGCAGCAGUGAGGAAUAUUGGUCAAUGGCCGGAAGGCUGAACCAGCCAAGCCGCGUGAAGGACGAAGGUGCCAAGCAUUGUAAACUUCUUUUGUCAAGGGACAAAAUCAGGCUCGAGAGCCUGACCGAGGGUACUUGAAGAAAAAGCAUCGGCUAACUCCGUGCCAGCAGCCGCGGUAAUACGUAGGUGACAAGCGUUGUCCGGAUUUACUGGGUGUAAAGGGCGCGUAGGCGGAUGUGCAAGUCAGUCGUGAAAUACCGGGGCUCAACCCCGGGGCUGCGAUUGAAACUGC
rnacentral:rRNA from 1 species